CCCUGAAGCAUCACUCCUGAUAUGCUUUUUUAGAGUCCUGCAAGGAGUCCUGUUUAAUUUGAACACACACACCCUUGGCAAGAUGGCAGCGGCUCAUGAAAGCUAAAUCUCUCCAUACUCCAUUAGGUUUAUGCUGUGAGAUGAGCGUAGUACAUAGCCUGAAAUGCAUUUAGUUGCUUCAAAUAGGGAUGCUCUUUGGACAGAAGCUUCUGUUACUGAGGAGCAAAGGUGUUGACUGACAGUUCCAGUGGGUAUUUUGGGACAGAAGCCUCUGCAGCUGAAGGAUAAGAAAAGAAAAGAAGACCUCUUGAUAGUAUGUGUGUCCGUGGCAUCCACUUUGUUACUCGAACAUCUAUGGCUGUUGCUUACUACACAUUGUGAAGCCUCAGAUGAAACUGAGAAGCCACAGGAGUGUUUGGCUUGGUUUGCCUUUGUCCUAUGAGCUACCUGAGGAGCAGGAGCAUCCGUAUGAAAGCAAACACAGGAGAUAUCACUGUCUAAGGAAAUAAUGUACAUUCUGCAGAUACAGAUGCAUGUUCUACAACCUGUCCACACUGAAUGCAUUAAGAAAAGGGAAAAGGGAUUAAACCCCUGAGCCCUCCCAGCUGCAUAUUCAACACUUUUUCUUCUGAAGUACCAAAAUACUCAAGUUGUAUUUUCUUCCUCAGCCUGCAGAGAAAAUAAGGAAGGAAGAUUCCAGAGAAGGUGUUACCCUAGACACAUGGAAAGCAUAUUGCAGAGGCAAUGGAAAAGGAGCCCAGAAAACAAUUUGUUUAUUAUAAGCAGGUCAGUCCUCCGGGGAAUUCGUGGAAUCAUGCAGUGGGAGAGGACAAUCACGGCACUGAAAUGGUAAAGGAGAGAGGCAAGGUGGGACGCCUUCUUCAUCCUUAUUCCUCCAGCACUGCCUUAUCUGACAACAGACACUAGAAAAACCUUGCACUGGAAAUUCUGCACCAUGGCCAGCAUUGAUUGUUGAUGUUAUGGCUGUGUCAGCCCUGUGUCUGGGCAUCAAAAGCAGAGUGAAGUUUAUAUAGUAUUCAAUUAUAUAUAUAUGGUUGAUAAAUACUUUGGUUUAUGCAGUUCUCCUCAUGAGAGAGAAAAGCCCUGGUGCAAAAAGUAGUAUAUGCGGCAAAUUUGUGAUUCAGUUAAUGAAGGAACUUCCUUGCUAUUGAUAAACAUGCUUGCUGCUCCACUGCAAAUGUUUAAAUAGAUUGCAUCCAACAGUAAAGGAGAAAACGAAUGGGGAUUUUUCCUAAUGUACUCAAAUCAGCAUAAUAAACUGCUUUCACAUCUUUUAAAGGUUUUUGCUGUACAUAAAUCAUAAGCCUAUAUAAAUAAAACAUGGGAAUAUAUUUUUAAUCAUAAAAGCCUGUAUUUUAACGCCCAACUUGUUAUCUAUUCCUUAUCCUUAUGUAAUAUUUUUGCCUAACAUUAUGUUUUUGUUUUUUUUCCAGGGUCUGGAGGAUCUGACAUUAAGAAACAUGGCAAUGACCAACAGAAAGAAGAAAGUACAACUGCUCCUGGGAUUUUCAAUCUUCUCAUUGAUAGAUCUUAUUAAAGAAUGCCUAAGAAUUUAUAUAUAUAUAUAUAUAUAUAUAUAUAUAUUUCCACAACAAAAUAUAAUAGUACUUGUUGCAUUAGAAAUAUGUCAAGAACACUUUGGGGAUGCAUCAAACUAUAUUUCAGAAAUAAGUGUCCAAAUGUUGAUUUUUUAAUUUUUUUUUUUUUUUUUUUUUGAGUGAUACACUGUAUUUAUUAUUAGGACAAAAUCUGUCACGCAGAAAAGAUUUUUUAGCCCUUAGGUGUACUCAUGAAUGUGCAAAAACUACUUCAACAGUGGAGAGCCUCAGCAAAUUGUUGUAAACACGUGUCCUUGCAUGUAGAUCUUCAUGUAUGUACAGGUAUAGAUUGAUAAAGAUAUAUUGAAGUAAAUGUUUCAAGGGAAAACAAUUCAAGACUUUAUGAAACUUAAAUAAACCUCAGUUGG
ensembl:lncRNA